rnacentral:rRNA from 1 species
GACGAACGCUGGCGGCGUGCUUAACACAUGCAAGUCGAACGGAAAGGCCCUGCUUUUGUGGGGUGCUCGAGUGGCGAACGGGUGCGUAACACGUGAGUAACCUGCCCUUGACUUUGGGAUAACUUCAGGAAACUGGGGCUAAUACCGGAUAGGAGCUCCUGCUGCAUGGAGGGGGUUGGAAAGUUUCGGCGGUUGGGGAUGGACUCGCGGCUUAUCAGCUUGUUGGUGGGGUAGUGGCUUACCAAGGCUUUGACGGGUAGCCGGCCUGAGAGGGUGACCGGGCACAUUGGGACUGAGAGACGGCCCAGACUCCUACGGGAGGCAGCAGUGGGGAAUAUUGCACAAUGGGCGGAAGCCUGAUGCAGCAACGCCGCGUGCGGGAUGACGGCCUUCGGGCUGUAAACCGCUUUCGCCUGUGACGAAGCGUGAGUGACGGUAAUGGGUAAAGAAGCACCGGCUAACUACGUG